rnacentral:rRNA from 1 species
UACGGAGGAUGCGAGCGUUAUCCGGAUUUAUUGGGUUUAAAGGGUGCGUAGGCGGGCCUUUAAGUCAGCGGUAAAAAUUCGGGGCUCAACCCCGUCCGGCCGUUGAAACUGGGGGUCUUGAGUGGGCGAGAAGAAGGCGGAAUGCGUGGUGUAGCGGUGAAAUGCAUAGAUAUCACGCAGAACCCCGAUUGCGAAGGCAGCAUACCGGCGCCCUACUGACGCUGAGGCACGAAAGCGUGGGUAUCGAACAGG